GGAAUUUUGGACAAUGGGGGCAACCCUGAUCCAGCAAUGCCGCGUGUGUGAAGAAGGCCUUCGGGUUGUAAAGCACUUUUGUCCGGAAAGAAAACCGCCGCCCUAAUAUGGUGGUGGGAUGACGGUACCGGAAGAAUAAGCACCGGCUAACUACGUGCCAGCAGCCGCGGUAAUACGUAGGGUGCAAGCGUUAAUCGGAAUUACUGGGCGUAAAGCGUGCGCAGGCGGUUUGCUAAGACAGAUGUGAAAUCCCCGGGCUUAACCUGGGAACUGCAUUUGUGACUGGCGGGCUAGAGUAUGGCAGAGGGGGGUAUAAUUCCACGUGUAGCAGUGAAAUGCGUAGAGAUGUGGAGGAAUACCGAUGGCGAAGGCAGCCCCCUGGGCCAAUACUGACGCUCAUGCACGAAAGCGUGGGGAGCAAACAGGAUUAGAUACCCUGGUAGUCCACGCCCUAAACGAUGUCAACUAGUUGUUGGGGAUUCAUUUCCUUAGUAACGUAGCUAACGCGUGAAGUGACCGCCUGU
rnacentral:rRNA from 2 species